rnacentral:lncRNA from 1 species
UUUUGCUUUCUUACUGUAUUUUUUGGGGUUAAGUCUUAAUUUUAGGUUUCUGUUAAUUUUUUGUGACUUGUUAAUCUGAAUUUUCUGUUUGUAUUUUAUUGUAUGAAUUGUUUGAGAGCCUUUUUUAAACACUCUCUUGAAUGUGAUCUAACAGGAAACUCAACGUCUCCUCAGUGAACCAGGUGAGCCGUUGACUCUUUCUUGCCAAUUUUUGUUGUAUCUUGUGUUAGUUUUGCGGUCUUAUACCAAUAAUUUGGAUGAACAAUGUAUAAAAUACAGUCUUAUUUAGAGUCGGAUGUCAAGUAAUUAUGCAGCUGUCCCUUGUGUGCAUGAAUGUUGAAUUUAUAGUGAAUGCAAGGGUUAUAUUUUGUUAAUUUUGCUAUUCAUGGGUGCAGCACCGGGAAUAAGCGCCUCACCAUCAGAGGAUAAUAUGCGAUAUUUUAAUGUGAUGAUUCUUGGCCCAACACAGUCUCCAUAUGAAGGUAAUCCUUGUGCUAAUAUGGAAUUUGUUUCAAUAACAUAUUCUUUGUGAUGCAUUAGAAAUGUGACAUCAAUCCUAUUUAGUAUUUCACUUAAAUAUGUUAUUGAAGCAAGGAAACAUUUGUUUUUUGAUGGAAAAAAAUUACAAAAUAUUUUUUUUUAUUCUAACAAAAGUUCUCAUUCCAGACUAGGAGGUUCCAUUAUCUCUCUUUGCUUCAACUAACUUUUUAGUUCCCACAAAGUAGAGAAAAACAGCUAGGGGAACAAACUGUCUAGGCAGUGGACCCUUCAAUGCUUACGUCAUUAUUUAUGUAGUAUCGGUAGAUGGAAUACUUGCUCCCUCUAACUAGAUACCUUGAUAUCUGUAUUACUUUGCCUGUUUUCUUGUUUGUUAUGUCAUGAUUUUAUGUCCUAACUCCUUUCUAGUUCACCAGCUGUAAUUGGUGUGAGGUAAUACUGAAUGUUAUCAAGGUGAGAGGCGAUACUAAGGCAACAAGCUCCUCUCUCGCCUUAGGCGAGAGGUGAAGUGAUGCCUUUUUGAAUUGAGGUGCCAUACUUAUAUAUACAUAUAUAUGUGUGUAUAUAUAUGUAUACAUGUAUUUAUAGCAUAUAGAUAUAUAUGUAUAUAUUCAUAUAUGGAUAUUGUAUUAAUUCCUUGUUAAUUAGUUAAUCAGUUAGCAUAAUUAUAAGGUAUGUAUUCCUAAUUGGUUAGCUGAAUUAUAAGCAUAUUUAUAUAUAAAUAUGUAAUAUUUUUCAAUAUUGGAAUGUACUUGAAUAUUGAUAGUCAACUAUGUAGAUAUUAUAUUGUUUCUUUCCUUAUUAGUUAAGAUAUAUAUAUAUAUAUAUAUAUAUAUAUAUAUAUAUAAAAUUAUGCUAACUAAUUAGGAAUACAUCCCUAAUUAGUUAGCGUAAUAAUAGGGAUAUAGAUCUCUUAUUAAUUAGCCUAUUAUAGGGUAUAAAUCCCUAAUUAAUUAUCAUAACUAUGGAGAUAAUCCUCUAAUUAGUACCUAAAAUUUAGUUCUUCAAUCAGCUACUUCAAAAGGAAAUAUGAAUUAGGGUUUAGUCUUUAAAAAGGAAGAACAAAAGAAGCCAUGCAUCUUAUUUUCAGAGGAGAAGCCUUGCCUCGCCUCGCGCCUCGAGCCAGGUGAGGAGAGGUGAUCGCCUCUUGCAAGGGACCUCGUCUUGCCUCGCAUUGCCCAGCGCCUUCAUAACACUAGUAAUACUUCUGAAUAUCAGUUAGUUAAGUUCUGGACUUUGAUGUUGUUAACCUUUAUAACAUUUAAGAUAUAUUUAAUGUGGUUUGUCUUGUCUUCUUUCUUGACUUGGGCUUAGCAAUCAUUCUGAUGAAUGCCUGAAAGCUCACUCCUACAUACUUAUUGAGUAGUUUAUGAUGUGAAUGUACACAUGGCUGUAGCUUUUCUUUCUUCCUGGAUUUUGCGGAACAUUGUACUCUGUGUUAAAAUAAUCUAGUUUUAUUAUUUUCUUUUCCUGUGCAUUUGCCAUGUAACUUGUGCUAUGAUUGCAACUUUAUUUAGGUGGGGUUUUUAAACUGGAAUUAUUCUUGCCUGAAGAAUAUCCGAUGGCUGCACCAAAGGUAUUGUUAUUUUGGUUAUUCCUUCCAUUUCCUUCUAGAGAUGAAUCUUUUAUUUCUCAUUGGCUGUUAAACCACAAAAGAUUGAGGAUGUUUUGCUGGAAUGAAAUGCAUCCUUUACUAUUGUUGAAGUUCAUUUCAGUUUCCUCCUUUUGUCAUCACAUUGAAUUUACUAGCUAUUUGUGAUUAUGGCAAUGUUACUUAUAAUAAAUGACUGAAAUGUACUUUGAUAAGACCAACUUUAACAUUUAGGGUUGGAUUUGGCAAUUUGGGUUGGGAAACAUCAUUUUUAGGCUUAAAAAUGAUUGCAGGUGCAUGUUGAGAAGCCAUCAUGUCUUGUCCUAGAUAAUAGAAAAAUUUAACUGCAUGCUGGUUUUCUAUACUAACGUGUGAGUUCUUAAAACUUCACCAGACUCGUUUUGUGGGACAAAAUACAUAAGUCCAAGUACACCUGUAUAAGAAUUCUCAAUCCCAAGCUGGCAUAUCUAUUUUCAUGGUUAUAGAUAUGUUAUCUACUGGUAACUCAAGGAUGUGGAGAUUUUCUAUUAAUUCAAUGUGUGCUUGAUGAAAUCCUGUGGGACGACUUAAAAAGUUUCCAUCUCUAAUCAUAACCAUUAAAAAUUUCAAGGACAGGUUAACACAUAGAUUCACAUUUUGCUUCCCAUGGUCUGGAGAAUUGAUAUUGUGCCUUUAAAACUUGGGAGUAGUGCAAGGCUAAUUGGAUUAGGCUUGCAAUGCAAUUGGCGAUGUUUGUUCUUUGCCCAAAAAUUCAAAGAGGCUGAAGAUAACUUUAGUUAUCUCUGAACGGAUCUGGAUAGUUGAAAUCGAAUGUGAUGUUCAGGCAAAAAUUAUCUUUCUAAUGAAUGUUCACGACUUUCAGGAAAAAUUACUUAAUAGUAUGUCGAAUGUCUUUUAUAAUAUUUUAUGUGUUUUAAGGGUGUACCUUUUGAACUCAACCUGAAUUUGACCCAAUCAAUGUUUCGUGAUCUUCAUAUAUUAUGUACUCAUCCUAAAAAUUGUGUACUUUCUCAAUUUGAGUAUAUUUCAUGAUGUUAUUUUCUCUUACAGGUUCGAUUUCUUACCAAAAUUUAUCAUCCUAACAUUGACAAGGUGAGCGUUGUUUCUCCUCUCUCUCUAUUUUGAGUCCGGUUGUUUAACAUCUUCAACAGAGUAAAUUUUCUGAUGUAGCUUGGAAGGAUAUGCCUUGAUAUUCUCAAAGACAAAUGGAGUCCUGCACUCCAGAUACGAACUGUACUUUUGAGGUACUAUGGGAUUUGAUUAUUUAUUGGUUUGCUGAUCCUUGUUGAAUGUCUUCAUUUAAGAAGUUUGUGAUGUCAUGCAUUUGUUGUUGAGGAAGGAACUGGUUUUCAAGGAGUAUUUACACUGUUGAUACAAAAUGAAACAAUCAAACAACACUAAAACAGGAAAAAUAUUUCUGCUUCUCUUGUUUUGUUUUUCUUCUCUUUUUCUUCUUUAAAAAAAAUCUCCCUCUUCCCAUGGAGAUAUAAUAAAUGACCAGUUAAGAAACAAUGUUAAAUGUGUUAGAAUUGGGUCUUACAAUUGUGCAUAUAUUGCAGAUAAGACAAGUAAUAUUGUGCCUUUUUUUUUCUUUUUUUUUUUUCAAAUAGUAUCCAAGCACUUCUUAGUGCUCCAAACCCUGAUGACCCACUUUCUGAGAACAUUGCGAAGCAUUGGAAAACGAAUGAGGCUGAAGCUGUUGAAACAGGUUAUUUUUCUAGUUCAAGUUUGACCAGUUCCUGCAUUAUUUUUUUUUCUUUGGUUAACGUUGAUGCCAAUGCUGUGUCCAUAUUUUUCACGUUAUUGUUGUAUUCUCCAAAUUGUACACUGCAGCAAAGGAAUGGACCCGAUUGUAUGCAAGUGGUGCAUGAUGUUGUGGUGGAAACUUCUCUUCAAAUGACUUCCAUGUGAUAUAUGCUAUUAACUGAUAAUUUGAAUCAAAAUUUGAAGAUUUCCUGUUUGGACAAAUUAGAAUUUUAUAUUUUUCAAAGCUUCCAGAUACUGCCUAUUAUUAUUAAAUUGUUAUCUGAUGUUGGAAGCAUCACCUUGAAACUUGUAUGAUAAGGAAACUUUUUCAUCUCUGUGCAUUUGUUCGUGCAUAAGUACAUAAUGGUGCAGGUUCAAGGAUUCCAUUCCAACCUUGAAAAUUUUUGGAACCCUGGCAACGUCUGCAAGCGAGCAAGAAGUUCAUGUGAUAUACCGGAUAAACAUUCGCUAUAUGCACAAUUUUCGUCCCCGUAUUUAUUGGGGAAGUUCAAUCGAGUCGGCUUAAUUCAAAAAAUAAAGAUUUUUUAGUUGAACAAUUUUAUUGUUUGACUUGGAUAAAGUACUAAGAAGUUUAAUUUUAUAAUCUUUGGAGGAUAGUUGUGUAUUUCUUUGAUUUAGUUCAGAAAUGAAGCAGCUUGUUUUCUUGAUUUUCUAUUCUUAUCUUGACAAAAAGUUCUCUCUCAAAGCUUUAAAGAGCCCUUGAACCGCGAUCCCACAGUUCUGACACAUAGUUCAAUCUUCAGUUCACCAUGUUUUUCUAGGACAAGUCUUGUUACGUAAUAAUAUAUACUCCUCUCGGUUCAAGUAUUGAAAUUAUAUAUGAUUGCAAUAAAUUUAUAAAUUUAAGUAAUAACGAAAAAUUUUAAGUUCUUUAUAUAGAACUUCAUAAUAUGUCAACGUUGCUCUAUAAAUGCAAGAAAUGAAGGGCCAAAAAUUAAGAGAAUAUAGAUAAUUGCUAUAGAGAUGAGAUAUUAAUUAGUUUAUUUAUCUAAUUAAAUAACGGUUCAUUCUUAUUGCCAAUGUCGGGGUUGCCCUUCUAUCCAAAGAAAACAAAGAUAAACAAGAAUAAGUUGGGAAGCCCGCGGUGUAUACUAUGCAAAAUACAUAGGAUUUCUCCAUUAACAAUGCCUUAUUAAUCACAACAACGUCCAUUGACGUGCAUAUUUAGAAGCUCCAUUACAAUUUCAAAUACACAAAAUCAUGGCCAGAAGAGAAGGAGCAGUGGUGAAAAAAGGUGAAGGAGGUCUCAAAUUGGCAGUCUCACUAUAUGAGGAGUUUGGGCUUCCACUUGGGCUUUUGCCUCUUGAUGAUGUAAUUGAAGUUGGGUUCGUUCGGAGCUCCGGAUACAUGUGGAUCCUCCAAGAAAAGAAAGCGGUGCACAAGUUCAAGAUGAUAGGAAAACUUGUGAGCUAUGACACUCAAGUAACUUGUUACAUUGAACCCAACAGAAUCAAGAAGCUCAAAGGAGUGAAAGCUAAAGAGCUCAUAUUUUGGACAGCAUGUGGUGAGAUCUUUGUGGAUGAUCCUCCUACCGGAAAAGUCCAUUUCAAGGCCAUCGGUGGUCUCACCGUCACGUUUCCCUCAGAGGCUUUUGGCCUUGGUCAAUAAUUGUUGGCUUUUCCUAUUGUCUUGUCAUGCUUUGUUAUUUUAUUAAUCAUACCUUUCAAGUUUCAUCGACCGUGUCAUUUACUGUUUAUUGAAUUUUAUAAAUGGUUUAAAUAUGUAAAAUAUAAAAAUAUUUUAAUUAAUUCUUUAAAAGUAAUAAAAAUUAAGAAAAUAAAUAUAAUAAAAUAUAAUAAUUUAAUCCAAUUUUCAACUAUUAAAAAAUAACUUUUUUGAUGAAUAAAGGGCUGAUAGGGGUUAUUAUCCUUUUAAAAAAUAUUAAUUUUAUUUGAGAGUAUAUUAAAUAUAAAUGUAAUUUCAAUAAACACUCCUAUUUAACCCCUCUCAUCUCUUUUUGCUCGUGUUUUGUGAGACCCACAAAAUUCUUUUUCCAUGUACACCGUACUAACUGCAUUCAGAAGAGUAGCGUAUGCAAUCACCGUUCGAGCCGCUUUGAUCAACUUUUUCACUUGGCUUCAUUUGCGUGAAAAAAUUUUUUUUUCCUUUUCUGUUUAUUAUUAUUAUUAUUAUUUAUUAUCCAUGUCGGCGGUCAAUUGUAGUCGGUGCUCUUACUUCUUCACGCGCUUCCCGAAUUCGUGAAGCAACUGCCAUUAUCUUGCUUUAUUUAUUUAUUAAGAAUAAAAACAUGAAUUUAGUUAUUUAUUUAUUAUUUAUUCAAUCGUUAUAAAAUUGUUAAUAGAAAACAUGACAUUUAAAAUUUAAAAAAUAAAUAUAAUAAUAAUUUACAAUUAAAAUUUUAUUUAUUUUAGGGUAAACUAUAAUUUAAUCCCUCUGAUUUAGUGAAAUACAAUCUUUCGUCUCUCUGUUUUAAAAAAUCGUCAAUUUAAUCAUUCACAUUUAAAAAAAUGCAAAAUAGUCUCUACCGUCAAAUUUUCAAUUAACCUUUCAUUUAUUUUAAUGAAAAUGACUAAACUACCUUUUAAGUAAAAAAAUUCAACCAAACAGUAUUCACUCCAUCCCAACACAGAAGAAUAAUGAGGAGGAGGAGGAGGAGGAGAAAGGAUCGGGAAAAGAAGAAGAAGAAGAAAAAGAAGAAGAAGGAGGAGGAGGAGGAGGAUGAGGAGAAAAGGAAGAAGAGGAUCAGAAGGAGGAGGAGGAGGAGGAGGAAGAAGAUGAGGAGAAAAGGAAGAAGAGGAUCGGGAAAAGAAGGAAAAGGAUGAGGAGAAAAUGGUAGUUUAGUCAUUUUUAUUAAAAUAAAUGAAAGGUUAACUGAAAAUUUGAUGGUAGGACUAUUUUGUAGUUUUUUUAAAUGUGAAUGAUUAAAUUGACGAUUUUUUAAAAUAGAGGGACAAAAGAUUGUAUUUCACUAAAUCAGAGGGACUAAAUUAUAGUUUACCCUUUAUUUUAUAAUGAAGUUAAUUAAUAUUACAUAAUAUUUAUUCAAAAUAAAUUAUAAAUUAUUACUAUAAAAUAAGAUUAUGUAGUAAGAAACGGACAAAUAGAAAAUAUAGUUGCAGCAAAAAAAAUAAAGAUCUGAAUCUUUUAACAUCCUGAUUGGAAAUAAAGCUUAUUCUCCUCGAUGAACGAGACUUAAACAUAAAAUUAUCAUUGUUAGCACACUCCAUCUCGUUUGAGAUUACGAAAUUACCCUAUUUAGUAGUGGACGAUGUCUCUUAUCGAGUAAUCAGUCAUAUCAUUGUUGAAUUUACAGAAAAUACUAUAUUUAUCUCUAUCUUCUUGCAGUAUAAAAGAAAAACUAUUGUAGAUAUAAAAGUACGCUAUCUCUAAUACUACACAAACUCUAAAUAGUCCAUUAUAUUUUUCUACUUUUCAAAAUAUUAAUUUGAGUAUCAGAUAUCGGAGUGACUGUUGUGAACACUCAACACUGUCUCACACUUUCUUUCUUAUAGAUUAUGAUCUAUCACAACAUAAUUCUCUUCCGUCCGAAUCAUUAAUCUAAUUUCAGCAAUAUCAUUAAUAAAAUAUUUUUUUUCCAUUGUUCACUACUAUCAAUGUAUAGAAGUAAAAAGUUUGAUUAUCAAAUAAAUUAAGUAAUACUUCCUUAAUUCACCGAUUUUCAAAAAUUAAAAAAAUAUUUUUUUAAUUUUUUAUUAUUAAAAUAAUAAAUGAAAAUAUAUUUUUAUUAAAAAAUUAUUCAAUCACUUAAAAAAAAUAUUUUAGUCAUUAAAAAAUAUAAAAUAUCUAUAUCAACUAGCAACAAUUUGUAUAGAAAAAAAUAUUUUAUUAAAUAAAAAUUAAAUUUAGAGAUUAAUUUAUUAUUAAAAAUUUAAUAAAAAAUUAUUCAAUGAAUUUUACCAAAUUUCAGAAAGAUUGAUAUAAAUUACCCUAAAUAAAACUAUUAAAUUUUAUUUAAAAAAUUAUUAAUUGAUCAUAUAACAUAAAAAAAUUCACGAAUUAAUUUCUUAAUUUUAAAAAAUAUGUUAAAAUAUUUUUAAUAUAAAAAAAUUAAUCAAUAUAUUAUAUAUAAAAUUCAACAAUCAAUUAAUAAUUUUUAUCAUAGUUAAAAACACAUCGAUAAAAAUUAAUAGAAAAAUUAAAUAUUAAUUAAAAUAAAAGAUUAAUUAAUGAAUUUUAUUUAAUUAUAUUGUAAAAAUUAAAUAAUAAUAAAAUAAAAUAAAAUAAAAUAAAAAAAACACACGCACACGCACAGACCAGCCCAACAAAAAGGGGCGAUUACUGUCACCGCCAGGAUGCCAGCAAGUAGUAGCACCGACUUUUGUACUUUCUGGACUUUAUGGCUGCAAGCGAGGACGAGUACAGUGUAUGUUCAGCUGAAAAUUGAAUUUAAAUCUUUUUUAAAUUUUAAAUGUUUAUUUUUUUUUAUCAAAAAGUUAAUACUGUAAUUAAUAAAUUAUUAAAAUUUUAUUAUUAUAAUUAUGAAAUUAAUUUAAUAUUUUUUAUUAUAAAUAAAUUUAUUAAAUUCAAUAAUAUAAUAUAAUCAAUAUGUAAUCUAAUGCAUAAUCAUUAUGUUCCUUUCUUCUUCUUUUUUUCUUCAACUUUUUAUAUUUUAAUCUUUAUACCCUUUCAAUUUUUAAAUCCAAAUUUUUUAAACCCAACAACCAUUUUUGUCAACUCUUUAAAUCAAAUUCCUUUUAAACCCAACAUACAGAACCCACCACACCACUUAUUAACAAAUGGAAAAAUAAACUUGUGAUAUGACUCCUACCAUCAAUUCACAGCCAAAUGAAUUCAAAGAUGAUAAUCAAUUGAGCUGCUAGGUCUCAAGGAUGUGACUAACAGCAAAUUGAAAAAAAGGCAAAUGCAAAAAGAUAAGGCCACUAAACCCAACAACACAUACAAAGAGCUAUGAAAUUCUAGCAACCACCAAAAGUCGCAUUCUUUUCUAAAUGAAAACACCAACCCUCGUUUAAAUCCAUUACCAAGACCAGGUCAGUGCUCCAUUACAUGACCAUCUAGACCCUAUGAGAGAAUGCAAAAUAAACUGUAGAUAAAUGAAAUGGGAAAAAAAAAUGGGGAUUUUUUUUUAUUGAUGAAAUGAAAUGGUUGAGGAAAGAAACAACAAUAUUAAUUAAACAACAGAUUUAUCAUUUUUUUCACUAACCCAUAAGUACCCACCAGGAAUCCAAUCUCCCGCAAGCUGUCCAUUUCUUUCUGUAUAUAUCACAUAUAUAUAUAUACAUGUACAAGAUCCCAGCCUGCUAGUCUCUCUCAAACUAGGAAAUCUCCCUAAUCAAUUGUACAGAUCUUUUUUCCUUUACUUUUCUUUUUUCCUGUGAAAGAAAGUGGGGGAUACAAGAACAGGCUGGCCUACAAGAAAAUGGAAAGAAAAAAAAUUGCAAAGAGCAUAUAAUUUGUAAUAACAAAAAGUGAUGGGAGGAAGAACAUGGAACCAGAGAGCAAUGAGGAAUGAAUGAAUAAAUUAUAACAGCUAGAGGAGAAACUAAGCUAUCUAUCUGGGUUCCUCUGGCAAUGGCCGCUAAUGGAUUAUUUUGUAACUCUGGUUUAUGUGACAGGUAUCUGGUAAUCCUUACGAGGUGGGAGGAAAGCUUGGAGGGCAGUAAAGGGUUCCCAUCAAAUGGGGUUUUGGCUUAGAAAGAAGGAAAUGAGAAAACUGGGAGAAUAGUAGUACAUGUGGAGCCAUGAGUUUUAAAAGCUAUAAUGCCUCACCGAGUGUUCUAACAUAUCACAGCUUGGGCAAACAAUCUCCUUCACUCGACUGCCAUUCUUGUAGAUCUUGAAUGUUGGUACAAUCUUCACAUUUUCAGCAUCUGCAACUGCUGGGAUGUUUUCAAUAUUCACCUGUAAAAAGACACCACCAAAUGUAUAUAAGAGAAAUUAUCUUGUUUCCUGUUUCUCAGUUCAAAGCCUUGAGCUAAUUGGCAGGUUAUUUACCUUGAGAAAGUUUAUGGAUGGAUAGCGACCGCAUAGGGUAUCCACAAACGGAGAUAUUUGUUUGCAGUGCAAAUUAGAGGAUGUUUUGAAAUGAACUACUGAGAUGCCUGUGACAUAAAACUUCAAUUUUUAUAAGUUUAAAGGAUGUAAAAAAGAAUGGAAGCAAUAUAAGAUGAUUUUAAGAGGAAAAAUAAAAUAAAGGAAUGCUUACCAGGGAGAGAUAUAGCAACUCUGAAUUGCUCAAGUCCCAAUACUUCCUCCACUUCACCACCAAACUUCAUAUUAUACACUUCUUCUCCACGUGAUUUCUUCAAUGCAACUUGCACAUGAAAUAGAGAUUCAGCAACGUCAUUGUCAUCCGGAAGUUCCCUGUUCAGAAUCUCAUAAUCCCUCACUGCAUCAGCCCACCUUUCUAGCUGUUUAUAGCAGUACAGUGAACUACUCUUUUUAGAAAUAUUCCUUUUUCUUUUUAGAACAAAUGGUAAAUAUACAUAUGUUGGACAGUAAAAAGAAAAUGCUUUCAGGAUUAUACCUUGCUAUUUGAGGCAGCUCUUCGAAGAAGAGCUUUAGCAUAAUUAGGUUGUAUGUGCAACGCUUGGUUGCAGUCAUCAAUAGACCUCUCCCACAUUCCAAGCUUAAACCAACAAGCAGCUCUGUUGCAAUAGAGAACAGAGUUCAAAGGAUCUAGCCUCAAGCCUUCCCCAUAUGCUGAGCAAGCUUCAGUGUACCUCUCAGAUUUGAAGAGAUCAUUGCCACGUGCACGAGCUCUUGCCACCAAUCUCACAUUGUGAAGCAGCAUUGACACUUCGCCAUUCUGUGGAUCAAUCUGUCCAGCUUUCUCAGCAGCUGUAACUGCAUUCUCAAACCUGCAAGACAUCCAUCAUCCAUUCUCAACACUCAGAAAAUCAUCUAGCAUCCUAGUUCUGAUAAUGCUUUUGGAAAUCUGAAAUCACCUUCCCAUAGACAUCUCAAUCUGUGCUUGAACUAAGAAAGUGUAAGCUUCAGAAAGCAUCCCAAAAAACCUGCUCUGUGAGCAAGAGUUGCUAUAUGGUUCCAAUUUUGGAAUAUUUGAUAAGCAUGAUUGGGCACCUUCGAGUUGGUGGAGCUUCAAAAGAGCUUCAGCUUUACACAUAAAGAGCUGUAUAUUCAAAUUGAAACAGUUCAGCCAUCCUUAGCCAUUUUCUUGCAUACAAAAAGUCAGGUACACUGCAUUUACCUGGGGAGAAUAGUUAGCUCCAGCAGCAAUAGCAGCUUCACUUUCCCUUAACACAUUUUUCCAAUCGUUAACCUUUCGGGCAUCUGAACAUUUGUUCAGAUGCUUCUCUACCAACUGCAACUUCUGCAAUUCAGAAGGAUCUGUAUGAUGCCCUGGAAAGCAUAGGUGCCUCCUGGCAUUCUCUAUCUGUCCUAACCUGUCAUAAAAUCAAGUUAAACAAUUGUUGUUCAAACACAAUGUAUGUACUAAACUCUCUGCAAGAAAAUGCAGGAGAAACAAAUGAAAAAUUACCCUCACCUGAAAUAAGAUAAUAGAUCUAUGCAAAUAUACAAGCAAAGAACUGAAUAGGUGGAGACAAAUUUGUUAAUGAUGGACAUAAAAUCAUGCCUAUGUGCAGGGGGUUCGCAGUUCUAAUGCGGCUCAAAAUGGCAUUUGAUGCUAUUGAAUACACAAAUAGCAAAGCAUACAGCAAGAAAAUCCUAAUAUCACUAAGAAUUUGCACUGAAGUAAUCUAAUAGCCAAACAAGCAAGCAUGUAUUGAAUCAUCUGUGUAAAUAAACGCAUGGAGUUGAACCUAUAAAGAAUUUUGUCAAUAGAUGAGAAAAUCAAGAUUAGUGAAAUGAAAAAAACGCGUGUAAGUAACAACAAGAGGAACAUUUGCACUAAUUCAAAAAAUUAGAGGGGAAAGAACACAAAACAAUGUCCACACUCAACAGCCAUAACCAAAAGAAAAAAGAUACAUGCAAAUGUGUUAACAGAUGAAAUUGAUUAUAGCAGUCCAAGAAAGAAGAAUCACUGUGACCAAUAAGGAUAAAAACAAUGUGCUGAAAACUAAGUUCCCAAAGCAUCAAGCAAAAAUUAUCAUGAAUCAUAUACUGAAAUAUGCAGGCCAAAACAUUAUCACAAACUGUUUACUGAAAAUCGAGAUAAUGAACUUCUGCAAAUGAACCUAUAACUGAAACACAUCCUGACUGAUGAAUAAAUAUUACCACCAUGAAUAAAUAAAGAGAAAGAACUUCAUUCUCCCUUAUUACAAUACAAGCAAUGCAGAUAAACAUCAUAAAAAGAUUCCCCCAAAAAUUAAGCAAAUUGUUGCAAAAAUCUGCCAAAGAAGAAUAAGACUUGGAACUUGAUUCAUACAUCUAAGAACCAAAGAAUAUUAUCCACUCGAUGAAAGCAACACCAGAACUCAGAAAACACUCGAAAAUAAAUACCGAAAUGCCUAAUACAAAACUCAACACUAGAAACUCACAACAAAAGCACUAUCCACAUACUCACCUAAUAAACAAAGAUCCCAACCUCUGAUGUGCCCUCCAAUAAUUAGGAUCCAACAUUACUGCCUCCUCACACUCCCUCACUGCCUCUGCUACUCUUCCCAAACCCAUCAAAGCCGCCGCCCGGUUACUUCUGUAAGCUGCAUUCCCCGGUGCCAAAGCUAUAGCCUUGUCAUACAACACUACUGCUUCCCCAAAAUGGCCUUUCUUAUGCAUUUCAUUCCCGGCCCUCUUCAACUCCUCUGGAUCCACUCCCCCCAUCCUUGCGCCACCAACACUUCCACGGACAGUACUAGUACUGCUACUCAACGAAUUUCCCGCAUCCAAAUUACUGCAUUUAGUCGUUCCUCCGCCCCGCAUUAUACUCCCGUGCCCGUAAUUUCCCGUUCCCGAACCUAAAACGUCCGUCUUGGAACUCCGGCUGGUCAUUGCCAUACCUGGCUUUAAGAUCCUUCCCGACGGACAGAUGUUCCCGGCGGGAAGUACAUUAACAGGUGCAGGAGAGUUCACCGAGCUCUGACUGCCGCCGGCCGAGUAGAUUAAAGGGUCGGAUCUGGUGGUACCCUGUUUGGAAUUUCUGAAAGAAGUUGGAGGACAGGUUUCGCUGGAGCUACAAAGCUCGCCAGAAUGACCGGAUUUGAGAACUGGGUUGUGCCCAUUUCGGCUGCCGGAAACGGAUCCAGAGGAGCUAGAACUAGAGCUGGUAGUGGUGGUGGUGGUGGUGGUGGCGGUAGUGUUAAGUCCACGAGUUCGGAGAGGAGAAACGGGAGAGCCCAGAUCGAGUUCACGGAAAUCAGGCUUAUUGGCCUCAAGAGAAGAAAGAGAAUCACGGAGCUGAUCAGUUAGCGAGUCAAGCCCCAUUUCCUCAUUGGGCUUCCCGGAAUACGACAUUUUCUCAGCAGCCAAACAAAAUGAAAGCUCUUUGUAUCUCAACCUCUGAUAUCCCCUUCCCAGCUAAUUUCUCAAGCACUACCCUCACAGCUCGAAGCAAUGUCUGUGAAUGGGAAUAGAAAACCAAAUAAAGCAACACAACACAGAAUAGUAAACGAGCGAUGUAGAAAACACAAACCUAGAAAUGUCUCUGAAGAAGACAUCACAGAGAGAGAUGGGGAUCUCGUGAAUAUAAAAGGAGGAAGCAAAGAAUGAAUGCGAGUGUCAAUGGAAGGAAAGGAGAGAGAGAGAGAGAGAGAGAAAGGGGAUAAGGAGAGAAAAGAAAGAUCUUUUAUUUCUUUUGGCUUCAGCUGCUGCUUCACGAGACAGCUUUCAUCUCUCUCUCUCUCUCUCUCUAAUUCGCUUUUAUUUCUUUGUUUGUUUACUUGAACGUGGAAUCUAUGGCUUCUGCUUAUUAUGUUGUCUUCCACUCUUAAUUCUUCUGGAUUACAGAAAUGCUUGAUGGAUUAAGUUCAACAUAACCAUAAUUAUAGUGGAUCAGUUUUAAUAAUAAAAGUAUUUUUUAUUAAUUAUUGUAAUUAACCAAUAAAAUAAUUCAAAAAUUUGUAAAAAACUGCAUUUAUAUCUUAAAUUUUCGUUCCUAAAUAAUAAAACCAAAACAAAAUUAAAUUGAGAUUGAAAAAUUUUUAAUAUGAUCCUUGAACUUUUCUUUUAUUAAUAAAAUAGUUCAUCAAAACAAAUAUUUUUAUUUUUAUCAUGUUCUUAUUUUUAUUAUUAAAUCCAAUCAUAUCUUCUUUUAUUAAUUAUAUUAUAAAUUUUAAAUUAAAUUUACAUAUUUUAUUUUUUUAAUUAAAAUAAUAUUUUUAAUUUAAUUUUAAUAGUAUUUAAAACUUUUUAGACUCUUGAAACUUUUAUAUAUAUAUAUAUAUGAUUUUGGAUAUUAUUGAAUUUCAAUAAGAUAAAAUGAAAUAUUUGUACUCAAUAUUUCAUAUUCAAUAAUAUUAAAGAUCAUUUAUAUAAAUUUUAAGAACUAAAAGAAGUUCUAAAUUUGAUAAAAUUAAUUUAAAAAUAUUAUUUUGUUAUUCUAAUAUGUAUCUAUAAAAAAUUAAGAUAGGUUAAAUUUAAUUUAAAAUUAAUUUUCAUGAUUCUAUAAUUAUUAAGAAUGAUGAAAUAAUAUAAUUAAUCAAAUAAAAUUUCAAAAACUAUACUAUAACUUACUAUUAAAUUUUCAAAUUUAAUAGUCAAUUGAUUAAAAUUGGGAGUAAUUUUAAGUUUUGACUUCAUUAAAUAAAUAAAUAAAGUUUGGGAUAUAAAUAUAAUUUUUCAUAAAUUUUUAAAUUAUUUUAUUCAGUAUGCUUAUACUUAAAAUAAAAUUUAAUAAAAUAAAACAUUGAAAAAUUUUCUUAUCGAUUCAAAAUAAAUGAAAAUCAACCUUAUAUAGUGAACUUAAAACCGCUUAGAAAAUUUACAAAAAAUAUAGAUAAAUUAAACUAUAACCCUUUAAAAAAUUAAUUUUUUUAGUGUAGAGAAAAUAAUUUAAAAUUAUUAAAGGUUUAUAUGCCUCCUAAAACCAUAUUUGAUUUAUAAAUAAAAUUUAAAAAUUUUAUUUAAUUUAUUUAAAUAGUUGAGGGAUUUAUUUAAAUUUAAAAAAAAUUAAAAAAUUAUUUUAUUGACAGAUAAUUUAAGGACUAAAGUAUACCUUUGCCUUAAAUUAGUUAAAAAUUAUAUAACAUAUAAUAAAUAAUUAAUUUGAUCGUAGUUAAAAAAUUAUCGAUUUUUUUUGUGUCCUAGGUAAUUUUUAUUAAUUUUAUUUAUUUAACCUUUUAUUUUUAAGUUUAAAUUAAUUUAAAAAUUAAUAACUAGUGAAUUCUUUUUAAACUUUAUAUAUUCAUGACUUUAAAAAAACUUAAUAUUUUUUCAAAUCAUAUUAACUAAAUAAUAAAAUAAUACAGUUAAAAUUAAUCGAAUUACUAAAAAAUUUAUUUUAAUAUAUUUUUUAAAAUUAAUAGACUAAUUAAUAAAUUUUUUUAUAAUAUAUUAAUUAAAUAGUAAUUUUUUUAUAAACAUUUUAUGGAAUAUAUAUAUAAUUAAUUAAACUAUGGGAGGUGGUUGUGUCACAUGAUGGAUAGAAACACUAAUUCACUCAAUAGGGUUUGACUUGGUAGGCAUUUGGAAAUUUGUCAUUAACCUCUUUUUUCAACAGCAUCAAUUAAAUUCACAUAAAUCCUAUACAAUACAAAUGCUUUUUUUUAAGGGAAUUAAGAUAAUCAUUAAUAGAAUAUUAAUAUUAAUAGCAAUGAAAAUAGAAUAAUUUGUUGGGUUUUUGUUUUUUUAGUGAUAAUGCAAAAAGAAAUCAUUUUAUUUUGGACUGGUUUAAUUGAAAGGUCAAUAUCAAGCAUUUUUUCAAGCUCAAGAAAAAAUUAUUAACCUAGCCCUCUAAUUUUGGGGAAUCUGUCUGACAUUUGUGGCCAGCCACCAAUUCCAUUCACUUCACUCCAAAUUUCGACCGUUAUUUAGUGAAGCAAUCAUCAAUUAUAAAAGGAUUAGAUUUGUUUAAAUAAAGAUUUUCUUUAAUUAUAUCAAAGAAAAACUUGUCAUAUUAUAUAUAAACUACAACCACCACUGACAGGUCACUUUAGAUAUACUCAAAAAAUUUAAGUGGAAAAAUUUAGAUAUGUCAAAAAACUGAAUAUAUACGUAGAAUUUUAUAAUAAUUGAGAUUAAUUCAUUUAACACUUAAAUUAAAAUUAUAAUUGAUGUUAGCAGAAAUUAAAUUGAUGAUAUGACUGAAAAUGAGACUGUAACGUAAUUAGUAGAAAUUUGCAAUAGUAAAAACGUGAAGUAGUGGUGGGUGUUUACAAUAAUCGCCCUGACGUUUAAGUCAGUACUUUUAUGAGCAGAGAAAAUGCAAUGAACUACUAAAAUUUUUAAUAUUUUAAAAUAGCGUACAUUUAUUUUUGUAAUUUUUCUCCUUUUAUACGGUAAAAAAAUGGAAAUGAAUGCUGCAUGUUUUUGAUAAUUCGACAGUAAUAUAGCCGUUUACUUGAUAGAGGGUAUCGUCAGUCAUUAGGUAAAAAUCCUGCGAUCACAGGCGUAAAAGAUGUGAUAAUGAUAAUUUCGUGUCCAUACUCUCUUUGUUGGGAUAUAGACGAGUAUUCUAAUAACAGCUCGAGUGUUAAAAUAUCUGAAUCUUUUUUUUUUGUGUUGGUCCGAAUUUUUCAUUUGUAAGAUACAUACCGCCUAUCUCAUUUUAUAUUAACAGCUCACGAUUUACUUUAAAUGAUUAUUGUGUGAUAUAAAUAAUCCAUAAAAUAUAUAUACUAAUUGAAAUUAAUAAUAUAAAUAUAUAUUUCGCUAAUACAUUACAAACAUAGUUAGAACUCACAUGCCAAACUAUGUAAAUCAGCUAUCCUAAGAAGAGAAUGAAUUGCUUUAUUAAAUUGUUUGUAAACCCUACUCAGAUUCCAAUUAGAUUUUUAUAUUAAAAAAUAUCUAUUUUCAUAAACUACCGACUAAACUUAAUCAUUUGUUUGGUAUAAUUUCUUUUGAAAGAAAAAAUUUAAAUAAUUUUUUUAUAAAAUUAUGUGGUAAUUUAAUUUAUUUUGAAAUAAAAAUUUUUUAAAUUAAAAAAAUUAAACUUUUUCAUUCUAAAUAAAAGAAAUAUUAGAGAGAAAUCAAUUAAAUUAAUUUUUUAUAAAAUUUUUUAUUUUAAAUAGAGAAAAAUAAAGUUUUCUCAUUUUAAAUUCACAAACUAAACACAUUGUUUAUUGAAAGAAAAUUUUAAAUUAUUAACGGAUUCAAUAUUAACAAAUUUAUUAAUAAAUUGAUAAAUUUUAAUAUAAAACAAAUUAAUUUAUUAAUAAAUUUAAAAUUUUAUUGAUAAAUUUUAAUAUAAAAAAUUUUAUAUAAAAAUUUAUCAUCAUUUAUUGGUAUUGUUAGCGAAUUUUAAAAUUUGUUAAUAAUUUAUAAAAUUAUAAAAUAAUUAGGAUAGUAAAUUUAAAAAAUAUUUAAAUCAUUAAUCCACUCUAAAUUACUGAUAAAUUUAGAAAUUUAUUGUCAAAUUUUAUUAUUAAAUUAAUAAAUAAAAAAUAUUAUUGCUAAAUUUUAUUAUUAAAUUAAUAAAUAAAAAAUAUUAAAUUUCACUCUGAAUGACAUAUGUCAAUAAAUUUGUUAGGAAAUUUAAAAUAAAAUUUUGAGUAAAAUUUUUGCAUAUUUUUCGAUUAUCGCUGAAUUUAUUAAUAAAUUUUAAAUUUAUUAACUUAUAGAGAAAAAAAAUUAUUUUUUUUUAAAUUUAGUAAUAAAUUACGAAUGUGUUAAUAAUUCCUAGUACCACUUUCACUUCUUUUAUCAUUCAUUUAUUUGAUAAUUUUUCCUUUCUUUCAUUUAUUUUUUUAAUUAUUUUUUUAUUUUAUUUUCUUAUUUCAUAAUUUUUUUAUUUUUUAUUUUUUUUAUCUCUUAUACCUUUUUCUAUAAUUUUCCUUUCACUUUCCUUUUUUUUUCCUAUCAUUUUCUUCAUUUUCCUUCUAUUUUCUCUAUACUUUUCAUUUAUAUUAAUUUAUUUCAUAUUAUUUUUUCUAUUAUUUUCUCUUUAUUUAUUUUUUUUCUAUUUUUUUCUCAUUUUUCUAAUCAUUUUUUUAAUCUACUCUCACUCUUCCUUCUUUUUCAUAAUUUUUAUUUUCUAUUAUUUUCUCUUUUCUCUUUCUUUUAUUAUCUUUUCUCUCAUUUUAUAUCAUUUACUUUUCUCUUAUUCCCACUUUCUAAAUAUUUUUAAUAAAUAUUAGAAACAUAAAUUAAAAUUUUAAUAACGAUAAUAAUAUAAUUUUAAAUCUUAUUAAAUUAAUAAAAAAUAAUAUUAAUAAUAAAUUUAUUAUUUAAUUUCAUAAUUAAUUUAUUAACAAAUUACAGUUACUAAAGAAUUUAAAAUCUACUAAUAAUAAUAAUAGAAAUUUUGUUAUUAAAUUUAUUAAUAUUACUAAAACCUUUAAAACUAUCAAUAAAAAUUUAAUUAUAAAUUUUUUAACCAACAGAUCAUAAUUCAUUGAUAAUUUAUUUACCAAUAAAAUAUUAAGCAGUUAAAAAUUAAAUUUGAAAAAAAAAAAUUAUAUUAUGCAUAUGGGUGCAUUGCAAUAUUAGUUAAAAUUUUGUUUACAUUUUAUUAUAUUUUUUAAAAUAAGAGCAUGUGAAGAUGUAAAAUAAAAUUAAUGUUAAAUUUAGUGGCAGAAUCAGAAAUUGCUGUUUGGUGGCAAAGAAUUAAUGAGAUUAAUUAAUGAGAUUCAAUAAUUAAUUUUCUAAAAAAUAAAAAACAAAUAAAUAAGUGUGUGUAUAUAUAUACAUAAUUUUUAAACGUAAUUAAUUAAUUUUUAAAAAUUAAAAAAUUAAUUAUUAAAUCUCAUUAAUUAAUCUCUCAAUUUUGAAAAGUUUAAAAUGCUAUCGGUUAAAAAAAUUAAUAGAUGAAUUUUAUUUAUAUUAUAGAUACUAAAUAGUAGAAUACUCAAAAGAUUAACGAAAGACUGAUUAGUAAAUUUUUUUUAAUAAAUUUUUAUCAAAUGAACUAAUUAAUAAAUUUUUAUCAAUGAACUAAGCUAAUCAACCUUCCAUCAUGAGUAGCUAAUAAUAGAUUAAUGAUGAAUUUUCUCAUCAUAUUAAAAGAAUAAUUUUGCAUACUUUUUUUAUCAAAAUAAUUUUACACACUUAAUUAGUGACAGAAUUAUUUUCUAUCUAAUGAUGAUUGUUUUGAUCACAAAUAAUAAUGGAUUUUUUUUUACCCUUACUUUUUGUUUAAGCCCAUAUAUUUUAAUGAAAUUAAUUUAAAAAUAAAAUAUAUUAAUAAAUUUAUAUAUAAAAAUUUUAAAAUAUAAAAAUAACUUAAUUUUUUAAUUAAAAAAUAUUUUUUAUUAGCUAAUUUUCAUAUGUGCUCCAAACACAGAAAAUAUAUAAUAUUUUGUUUGAAAUAAAUGAAAUUUUAGUAUAUAUAUUAAUUCUAAUUAAAAUUUGAAUUUGAGACACCUCAAAAAAACUACGAUAUUAAUAAAGAAAGAAAGAAGCUGCAGCUAUGUGCCUUGAGAAUGUCUCAAAUUUUGCAUGCUCAGUUUGUGUAAGAGUUCAGACAUCUAUACAUAUAAAAAAAAAAUUAACUUAUGCUUUUGCAGUGGGUCUCAGUAUGCAACUAUCUUCAUCAAAUGAGAAAGGAAGAGAGAAAGUAACAAGAAUUUUCCUCAUUUUACUCCAAUUAAUCUCUGUCAUUGACUUCAUUAUAUAUUCAUCCUCUUCCAUAUGAUCUCACCUUUUUUUAAUAAAAAAAAAAAAAUCAAUUAGACCCACAUGGGAUCUAUCGAUCUCUAUCUAUCCUAUACAUAUUAGUGGAUAAAAUGGUUUUGUCAUGGAGCUGCAACAACACUCUCGUGAUACUCACAUGGACAUGGUCAUGCAUAUUGAAGAUAGACCAUUUAUAUAUUUCUCUUCUUUCGUUUUGGGGCAGUGUUGAAUCCUUUUCAAAAGCUUUCAUCUAUGUCUUUUCUAGUGAUAGCUGCUCAUCAUCAUCAUAAUCAUCUUCUCAUCAUCAUCAUCCACUCUUAUCUCUCUUUGAAGAUAUAUGUACAUAUCCAUGUAAUUGAUGAGUUGUAUGUAUAGUUUUAGUAGUUUUCUCUCAUUCUUAAUCUUAUUCAUUUAGAAAGUUCAAUAUCGAUACAUAUUAAAUUUGGAGGAAGUAUAAUUUAUUUCAAAAAUUAAUUUGAAAAAAAGAUUACUUAAGUUCAAUAUCGAUAUAUAUUAAAUUUGGAAAAGGUAUAAUUUAUCUUAAAAAUUAAUUUGAGAGAAAAAUUGUUUAUAACUCAUAUAAGAGACACGUUAUAUUUUUACGAUUGAAUGUGAAAUUUAACUAUUAGAGCCGAUGCAACCGGAAGGCAUAUGACCUAAAGAAGGGAAUAUAAUGGGUGAGGAAUCUCAAAUAGGAUUUGUAAUAAAAUUACAUUGAGACACCAAUAAUGAUAGGUGUGGGAGUGCCAUUGGAUAAAACAUUAAAGGUUGAGUUGAUAAGUUGCUUUUGUUUCACAAAGAAAGCAAAGACAGCAUCCUUUUAGGCUUUCAAUUAGGACAUGUCACACAUUUAGCUACCUAUCUAGCUACCCAUUUCUCUUGUCCCUACAUUUUGCUGGAUACCUCUCAUUUCUGACAAACUUGUAAGUCCCCCCAAAUAAUAGGGAAAAGACUUUUUUUUUUCUUUUUUUAGGAUUUUUUUUCACAAUGUAACACAAUUAAUAAAUUUAUAUUUUAUUAUAUAGUGUUGAAAAAUUUGAUAAAAAUUAUAAAAAUUGUCAAAUUAAAAUCACAUGCUUAGAAACAUGUUGAGGUGACAUAAAAUGUUGAAUGUCUACUCAAAGGGCACAUUGGAUUCCUUUGCGAAGAGGGUGUUGUUUUUUCCCUUGGUCAAUGUUGUCUAUUCAUUGUUUCUAUUUAUGUGAAGAGAUCAUCAUAGUUCUGUAUCACUCUGUUUGAAAAUUAUUAAUUUAUAAAAAUUUAAUUAUUUUGAUGAUAAAAUAAAUAUUUUUACUAAUUUACAUCUAAAAAAUAUUGACAUAUUAGAUUUAACUGCAAUCAAGAUAAAUGAACCUUCUAAUUUGAAAGGUUGGGUUUGAUUCUUUGGUUAGAAUGAGCAAUUUCUAUAAAACUAUAUUAAACAUUUUUUUAAAAGAAAAAUGAAUAUUUUUAUUUAUUUAGAAGCUGUAUUACAAUAAUUUACAACUAAUUAGAAAGCAAACUUUAAUUAAUAGGUGAUUUUUAAAUUUUAUAAAUAAAUUUUGAUAUUUAUAAACAAACUGAAUUAUUUAAAUAUCAAAUACAAAUUUGAUAAAUUACUCUUAAUCCUUAAAUUACAUAAGAAAAGACAAAAAUUUUCAUAAAGAAAGACUCAUUUAAUUCUAUUAAGCUAUUUAUUAAUGGGUAUUGAUGAAAUUAGAAAAUUAUUUGCCGCUGCCAAAUGAGUUGAUUUUCAUCAGCCUCAUCCUUAUGUCAUAAUUGGGAAAUAAAAUGAUUUCAUUUAAAAUUGGGCAAAUGAUUGCAAUUUUAGGGCUCAACCAAAAAGUCUCACUCACAUUCAUAAACUCCCUUAAAAUUCAAUGCCACUCCACUUUCCCAAAUAAGAAAAUUCUUAGGGAAUUCAAGCUAUAGUAGCUUGUGCACAUUACUUCACAACCUGCUCCAUUCCUAGUUUUGUUCAGUACUCAAGGUUUCAUGAGCCCAUCUCAUUGUUGAAUAUUAGAUCACAAACUUACCAAAUUUAUCUACAAAAACAAAAAUUGGAAGAAAAAGAAAAGGCAAAAAAUGCAUUAGAGCCUAAUGCUCUAGCGGAGAAAAAUACAAGUCCCAGCAGAGAACACCACCCUUCCCUUUCUUUAUAAGCCAAAAAAAAAGUGAAGGGAUGGGGGCCUGGGGCUGGUGCUGGUGCUGGUGCUGGUGCUGGUGCUGGUGCUGGUGCUGGUGCUGGUGCUGGGGAAGGAACUACAAUCUCAAAGUUCGUCAUGCAUAGGCUGACCUAAUGGUACCUCCACCUUGCGAACAACAUUGCCGUAAGCCUGACCAAUAUCCACACCAUUUUCAACUCCUCUUGGCCUCAUUUCACCUUGUCCAGCCAUACCAGCCUUUAUGGCAGCGGUGACAGUUCUCUGCAACUUAAGCAGCCCAAUCCGCUUUGAAACCACAUAAAGAACAGCAAAAGUAAACAAGAAAAAUCCUACUGCAAGUAUCACUCUGUCCAAAUAUAACCCCAAAUUAGUUGUUCUCAAAUAGAUAAUUUGAAAUAAAGCAGAAAUAAAAGCCCCUUUUUCUUCUGCAAUACCUAUCAAGAACAUCCUGACGUUGCAUUGUGGAAAGUAGAUUUCGGGUCCGCAUCAACAAUGACCGAUGGCCCUUAUAUUCACUUUCAGCCUUCCUUAAUACACCUGUUGAUUCCUCUGCAAAACCACCAUAAAAAUCUUAAGGGAAUGCUUCUCUGAUAUCUAAACCAUUCUUAGAUAAGCGAAGUUAUUUAAUUCUCGAAACACAGAAAUUAACACAAGUAAUGAACUCUCACUACAGUUUUUGAAGCACCAAAUGUGUUUUCAAAAUCUGCCAAAGUAAGAAGAGGUCAUGUAGCAGACCCAAAAAAUAUAUAUAAAAAAAAAUUCAGAAUACAAUCAGAAGACGACAACCAAAAAAAAAAAAUUCAAAUUAGUGUACCACAGGUUUAAUAUGCUAGAUCAAACAAAAUCUGUAUCCUUAAUUACAUCUAACAUUCAUCCACUGGAAUUUUUCUAAAGAAAUUUAUGGGAAAUAGUGUAGAAUAUGCUCUUGGAAACAUGCAAUGUAUAACAGGAUGACGUUGGAAACUGAUCAACAAGUACCAAAAGGCAACAAUUCUUGUAAGCUAAGAAUUUCUGACAAAUAGCUUCCAUCUAACAGCAAUCGACAGUGACUAAAGUUGUUUAUCAUAAUAAUGUUGCUUAUUUUCCUUGCAGAAAAAUCAAUUGAUCUGUUCAGAUUUUAGAGUUGGUAACUCCAUGCAUUUCAACGACUAUUUACAAAGAUACAAGGACUUAAAAUUUAGAUUCCAGGGACACAUAGCUGUGGAGAUAUACAACCUCUUUUAGUUUCCAUUCAAUUUUUAUUAUCAAACAAUACAGAUCCAGUCAAGGAAGACUAAAUUUAGCUAUUACUGUGAUAAUUUUUAAUUGUAAAAUUAAGAUCUUUAGCUCAACUUUCUAGAUCAAUUAUUAGAAUUCUAUUAUUUAGGAAUAGUUUACCUAUUAGGCCUUUUCCUAGUUAGAUUAAAAUUCCUUUUUAUUAUUUUUUUUUAGGAUUCCUAAUCCUAGUACUAGUAGGACUAGUUAUUACACUAUAAUAUCCUGAAGAACGCUCAAAGGAGAAGAAGAAAUAAACUCAAAAUGCUAUUGAUUCUUAAUUGUCAAUAUCAAUACUAAUAAGGUAGAUGGUAUAUUCUAGAAGAAUGAAGAAGAUUUUCAGAAGGAAUUCAGUUACAGCAAACAUAGAUCCAUAGCUAAGCAAAGGGAGAAAUUCUGUUGUUGAGGGAGCAUGCACAUGGACAGAAUCAAAGGAGGCAGAAGAAACUAAGGGGAAAAUUUUAGUUGAGAGGGCAGCAUCUUUUUCAGGGAAUUGUAAUUUAGAAAGAUUGUCCUUUCUCGUCCUGGGCUAUUCUUUGCUCUAUCAAUAUCUACAUCAAUUCGGUACCAGAGAGAUUUGACCAAGAUUGCUUAACCUCUCCCUCCACCGUGCGGCCAUUUUCAUCUUCCAAACGCUUUCAGCUGAUAGGUUUUGUUGUUCUCUUGGAGUACAACAAUGUGAUUUACAACCAAGAAUUGCUUGGCAAUAGCUUCCCUAGUGAAACAUAAUCACUUUGUAACUAAAAAGUUAAGACAGCAGUAAAGCUUUCCUAGUGGAAUAUAACCAUAAUAAACUUAAUAUGAAUGCAGCAGCUCCUGUCAAAAAAAGAAAAGUAGAGGCAGCAGCAGUUAUUUGGGGCAUAGCCACAUAGCUCUGUCUUCAAUGAGCCAUUAGGCAGUAUUAGCACCAAGACAGCUUCAAAACAACCUGACAAACUUCUUCACCUGAAGGCAGUUUAAAUAACAGCUUGCUUUCAUUAUGGCCUUUGAAGAUUGCAUUGCAUCUUUUCCUCAACUAGAGUCUAUACAGGCUAGCUAAGAUUCAAAGGUUACAAGCUGAAAUUGGUAGAACUAGAUGAGAUGUUAUUUGAAGAAUGCAAAAAGGGGAAUUGAAUAAUAUCCUCUUGACUUAUUUUACAAAUAUAAACUAUCAAACUUUUAAAAUCUAUGAAAAGAGAGCUAGAAGCAUAUGGGAAGGAAAAUAUGUUUGACAAAAGAGCCAAAUUUGCCCUUGAGCUAUACGGCGGGACCAAAAAUACCAAAUUUUAGCUUUUGGUCCAAAUUUAUCCCUAGACUAUCAUUAAAAGGCCAUAGAGAGUGUGGGUGACAAUCUACUCAGUUUAUUUUAAUGAUAGUUUAGGGGCAAAUUUGGACAGAAAUAUAAACUUGGUAUUUUUGGCCCCUGAGGCAAAUUUGACCUUUUAGCCAUAUAUAUAUAAACAAGAAUAUUGGAGAACUUUAGUUCAGCCACAAAUAAUUUCUAACUAUUUGGAUAUGAGGCCAACUCAAAUUUCCAGCUUCAAGAAAAAGGUGAGCUGCACCUCGAGAAACUUUGAGUUGGGCCAAUAGGCUAAAACCAAAGCUGGAAGCUUCAUUAAGAAUACUUGAAGAUGUAUUACAACUUAGAAGGACGCAACAGAACAAUUUUAAAAUGAACCACUUGAGACUUCAUAAUACUGAAUCCAAAAUGAUAAGAAUGAUGUGGGAAAUCUAGAGCAACUUAUUAUUGAGAAAGAAGAUGAUGCUGAAGAAUAAGAAAAGUUUGGGGAAUAUUUCCUGAAAGAAGAAAAACAGCCCAUGGAGAAGACAAUAGAAACUAAAAGUUUAUCUAAUUCUUUAGUUUAUGGUGACAUGAAGAGCCUUUCCACUAGUUGUGACCAUAGUCACUUACCUAGUACAACUUGAAAUGUGGUAUGGGCAUGGGUAUGCAUGUUAGGUGCAGACUUCAUUGGUACACCAAUUCGAAGUGCAACACUUAGCUUAUUCACACCUCUUCUUAUUCCUCUAGCAAUGCAGACAAUGAUUUUUCUUCUUCCUUUGCUGACACAUGCAAAGUCAAAUAGUUCUCCUUUUUCAGGCUUUGCUGUUGAGAGAAACUUCUUUCCUGUAUACUAGUCGCCUUUCUUUUUGAUUUUACAUGAAGCCCUUAGGUUGUGUCAAGUGAAUGAGAUUGUUUGAUUUAGAGAUCCAAAUUGCAUCCCGAGUGAUUUGGGACCAGUGUUAUUAAGGCGUGCCUAAGACACCAUGCGCACAAGGCUCUAAGGUCUAUGCCUAUAGACUCUACGUAGGUGAUCUUUAAAAUGUGGACCAAGCAUGCCUCAAGAGGCCCAGGUAACCUAUUUAAGAUGGCCUAUUCCUAUGCUGCCAAAACCUAAUCACAAAACAAGUCUAUCUUGCAUGAAGGAGGAAGAAGGCACAUCUGCUUCCGCAUUCCACCUCCAGGUUUGUUUUGGUUUUCUUCCUUCUCUCUUUCUUCUUCUUAUGCAUCAACUGCUUCUUUCUUCUUUUCUUCUACCUCAUCUGCUUCUUUCUUCUUCUAUUCUUUCUCAUCUGCUUCUUUCUCUCUUUCUUUCUUCCUUUCUUUUCCUCUUCUUAUUUUUCUAGCAUGGCAACUAGGUUAUUGGCAUGCUUUUCUUGCUCAUCUAGUGCCUUUGAUCUCAAUGAAAUGGAGGGCUUUUGUUAGUUUUAUAACUGAGCACAAAAGCUGAUUGUGGUAACGGAGACCUAAUUUAGAUCUAAUUUACCUUAUUAGUUACUUUUUUCUUUUUGCAUGAAGUUCUUUUAGUUUUAUUUUUCCAUAAAUUGAAUAAUAAACAUAAGUUAUCCUUAUUUUGUCUACAUAAUUAUGCAUAAUAUAUAAAUUUUAAUUUAAAUUAUUUUAAGUUAUGUUUAGCAAGGUAUUAUAAGAUUAAACAUAUAAUGAAAAUGAAAAUUGCAAUAGAACGAAAAUUAAAAUUAGUAGUUUGAUAUUGCAUUUGAAUGAAUAAUAAACAUAACAAAAUACAAUUUACUAAUAUACGUAGUUUAGUUAAAAGUGA